rnacentral:sRNA from 1 species
AAAAUAAUAUUAAAGGUAAAGCUCAAAUGUCUCUAGGAAGAUAUAGAGUUUGAAUGGUAAUACGGUACAACUUUAACAGUUAUCAAUCACAAAAACUUUAUCAAAAGCGUUACAAAAAGUUUUACUCUCAGUUUUUUGGUACAAAUUUUUUAUACAGUUCUUUCUAACAGCUUUGCACUAUUCCGAAAAACCUAACAUCUCCAGCUAACAGGUAAAAAACUUGUACAGCUUUUGAUUACCAAUCAGACCCAUAAUUUUUAUUCUAAAAAUAUCUGUAUUUCUCUCUUUUUUU